rnacentral:rRNA from 1 species
UACGAAGGGGGCAAACGUUGUUCGGAAUCAUUGGGCGUAAAGCGCACGUAGGCGGCCUAUUAAGUCGGAUGUGAAAUCCCUCGGCUCAACCGAGGACGUGCAUACGAAACUGGUAGGCUCGAGUAUGGAAGAGGGUCGCGGAAUUCCCGGUGUAGAGGUGAAAUUCGUAGAUAUCGGGAGGAACACCAGUGGCGAAGGCGGCGACCUGGGCCAAUACUGACGCUGAGGUGCGAAAGCGUGGGGAGCAAACAGG